rnacentral:rRNA from 1 species
UACAGAGACUGCAAGCGUUAUUCGGAUUCACUGGGCGUAAAGGGUGCGCAGGCGGCUAAGUGUGUCAGGUGUGAAAUCCCGAGGCUCAACCUCGGAACUGCGCCUGAAACUACUUGGCUAGAGUACUGGAGAGGGUAACGGAAUUCACGGUGUAGCAGUGAAAUGCGUAGAUAUCGUGAGGAACACCAGAGGCGAAGGCGGUUACCUGGACAGUUACUGACGCUCAGGCACGAAAGCGUGGGGAGCAAAAGGG